rnacentral:rRNA from 1 species
AGCCUGAACGCUGGCGGCGUGGCUAAGACAUGCAAGUCGUACGGGUGUAGCAAUACACCAGUGGCGAACGGGUGAGUAAUGUAUCGCUAACGUGCCCCGGACUCUGGGAUAGCUGCCCGAAAGGGCAGGUAAUACCAGAUGACAUGCCUUCAUCGCAUGAUGAGGGCCUCAAAGGUCCGCCGGU